rnacentral:rRNA from 1 species
ACGCACGCUGGCGGCGUGCUUAACACAUGCAAGUCGAACGGUGAAGCGAGUGCUUGCACUCGUGGAUCAGUGGCGAACGGGUGAGUAACACGUGAGUAACCUGCCCAUCACUCUGGGAUAAGCACUGGAAACGGUGUCUAAUACUGGAUACGACCAACCCUUGCAUGGGGUGUUGGUGGAAAGAUUUAUCGGUGAUGGAUGGACUCGCGGCCUAUCAGCUUGUUGGCGGGGUAAUGGCCCACCAAGGCGACGACGGGUAGCCGGCCUGAGAGGGUGACCGGCCACACUGGGACUGAGACACGGCCCAGACUCCUACGGGAGGCAGCAGUGGGGAAUAUUGCACAAUGGGCGAAAGCCUGAUGCAGCGACGCCGCGUGAGGGAUGACGGCCUUCGGGUUGUAAACCUCUUUCAGCAGGGAAGAAGCGAAAGUGACGGUACCUGCAGAAGAAGCACCGGCUAACUACGUG